rnacentral:lncRNA from 1 species
GGCACAGGGCCAUAUAAUCCCCUUCCUAGCAUUAGCCCGUCGCUUGGAAGAAACAAACAAAUACACCAUAACUCUUGUUAACACCCCUUUAAACCUUAAGAAGCUUAAAUCAUCUCUCCCUCAAAAUUCCUCUAUUCACCUUCUUGAAAUUCCUUUCAAUAGCGUAGAGCAUGACCUCCCUCCAUGUACUGAAAACACAGACUCUAUUCCGUAUCAUCUCUUACCAAAAUUCCUUCAAGCAUCAGCAUCGCUCGAACCCCACUUCAAGAAACUAAUCUCUGAACUUGUCAAUGAGCAAAAUGGCCAAAAACCACUUUGUAUCAUCACUGAUACGUUCUUAGGUUGGUGUAAAGAGACAGCACAAGAGUAUGGUAUUUUUCAUGCUAUAUUCAUAGGAGGUGGUGGCUUUGGCUUUGCUUGUUUGUACUCGAUGUUGCUAAACCUACCUCACCGCAGCACGGAUUCUGAUGAAUUUCUGUUGCCGGAUUUUCCAGAAGCUUCAACACUUCAUGUAACACAGAUAUCUCCUUACUUACGUGCUACCGAUGGAAGUGAUUCUUUUUCAGUGUUUUAUAAGAAGUUGCUUCUUCUAUGGAAGGAUGCAGAUGGAAUUUUGGUUAACACGGUUGAGGAACUUGACAAGAUUGGACUGAUGUAUUUCAAGAGAAAAUUUGGCCGGCCGGUUUGGCCAAUAGGGCCUGUUCUUUUGUCCACGGAAAGCAGAGCUGGGGCCAGAAAAGAGUACGGAAUCUCCACAGAGUUGUGUAAAAAAUGGCUUGAUACAAAGCCGUACACUUCAGUUCUGUAUGUAUCAUUUGGUUCACAAAACACAAUAGCUGCAUCACAAAUGAUGCAAUUGGCAAUGGCUUUAGAGGCUAGUGGCAAGAAUUUCAUUUGGGUUGUCAGGCCGCCGAUUGGCUUUGACAUAAAUUCUGAGUUUAAAGCCAACAAAUGGCUGCCUCGAGGAUUUGAAGAAAGAAUCAAAUGUUCAGGACAAGGGCUAGUGGUACACAAAUGGGCACCUCAGGUGGAGAUUUUAUCUCAUAGGUCUGUAUCCGCAUUUUUGAGCCACUGCGGAUGGAACUCUGUGCUUGAAGCUUUGAGUCAUGGGGUGCCGAUAAUUGGGUGGCCAUUGGCAGCAGAGCAGUUUUAUAAUUCUAAGCUCUUAGAAGAAGAGAUGGGGGUUUGUGCGGAGAUAGCAAGAGGGAUGAGUUGUGAGGUUCUGAAAGAGGACUUAAGUGCAAAAAUUGAGUUAGUGAUGAAUGAGACUGAGAAAGGAACAGACUUGAGAAACAAAGCUAAUGAGGUCAAGGUGAUUAUUAAGAAUGCUGUGAGAAAUGAAACAAAUUUUAAGGGGUCUUCUGUGAAAGCCAUGGAUCAAUUCUUGAAUGCUGCAUUGAUAAUGAGACAGACGGAAAAGGGAGCAUCAAACAUCAAAGGAUGAGGUUUGAUUUUGCGUGGAAGUAAGUCUCCAUUGCCAUUUCUGUCAAUGAAAAAUAAUGUCAUCUUUUAACGAGACAGUUUUUGGAAAAUUCUUGAAGUAAUGUUAAGUUUUGGGAAAAUUCUUGAAGUAAUGUUAUCUUUGUAUUAACUUUCGAUCAAUAAUAUGAAAUUUAAUUUUAUAUAAAUUAAUCCCAUACCAAAGAGCCACCUCUGUUUUUUGUGACUACAUCUAUCGAGAGUUUGAGUUUAAAGCUUGUUAUUUCCGAGUGGGAUCAAGAAUUUAUAGAGCAUAAUUCCUUUUUUUUUUUUUUUUUUUUGAUAGAGCAUAAUUCCUUAGUAUUUAAUGUUUUCAAUAAAUGAAAGUAAGAUUGGGCCGGAAAAACAUCACGCACGAUCCACAUCAAGCCCAACCCAGACCAUAUCAUUUGGGCUGGUUUGAUAAGGGAAACUCAAUCUAUAAUAAAUUUCGGCAGGGAUUGGGUUGAUGAUUUUCACAAAAUAAUUUCUAAAAUGAUAAAUCGAUAAAUUACUGUUGAAAAAAUAAUAAUAAAAGGUAGAAAUCUGCAUCUCUUGAUUUAUCAAUGGCACCAUCAUCGUCAAUGACCAAGCUUCUGAUAGUGGCUAUAACGAUAUUUGUAAGUUUUGGCUAAAUGGGAUUGCCACCAUUAAAUUUUUUAGUUAUUUGUAUCUUAGAUUUUUCUAAGAUCAUAAUAUGUCAAAAUAAAUUAUUGAAUCUAAAAGGAAAAAAAAAUUGAACUAACUGUACUUUUUUUUUUAAUGGAAAUGCAUUUUGAUUAAAGUAUAGUAAAACGUUAAUAGCAAGAAUAAACAUGACUUUUCAUAUGAAAUUUUGGUUCAAUCGCAUGCUGUAAAUUUCAAAAUUUGGGACGCCAUAAAUUUCAAAGUUUGAGAAACAAAAAAGUUAUGAGAUUUUUCUAAAUAUGUGCAUUGAGAUCUCCUUCUUACCAUUCCUUAAUUACAUUUUUUUUUGUUGAAUUAUAUUGUGUUUUGUGGUCACUUAAAAUAGGAUUCAACUUUAUACCAUUGAACCAAUCAUGUUAAAAUGUUGGAUGAAAUUGAAUUAAAAUUAUUCAUAGCAUUAGAUGGAGAUUGAGAUUUUAUAAACAAAUGUUGGAUGGUGAUUGGAGAAAAGAGAUAUUGCAAAUGGCGACGCUGAUCGGAGAAAACAAAAAUACCCUAAAGUAUAUAAACGCUUGGUUUCGCAAUGAUAUAUAUUGUCUGAUUUAUUGAAAUUUGCUUUAAAGUAUACUCUAAUUUACUGGAUUGCUUGAAAAAAUAAAGUGUAAUGUUAAUCGCAUCUCGUAGAUUUGUAUGCAAAAUAAAUUUUAAUAUAAUAUUUUAAAUUAAUUAAAAUAACAGUAAUUUUCCAUUACAAUAAUAAAUCGUCUUUAAUUAUUUAUGAAGACAAAAUUUGGGCUAUUUUCAUAUUGAAAGCACAUAUACUCUUUGUCUGCAGGGGCGACCCUCCAAGACUGAGACCAUCUAAAACUUGACUCAACAACUCAGCAUCGUAUAUAUAUUCCCAAAAGAUGAAAGCUUUGGUUUCCCAACUAAGUCACCCACCUGUGCUUUUCCCCUGCGUAUUUAGGGAUGGCAAAAAUCCCUACGAAGACGGGUAUUUUCGGAGAUUUUUUCCAUUCAGAGAGAAUAUGAGGAUAAUUUCAUACCCAAUUUCUUAUUCAGGAAAGGGACAUAGAAAUUUUUUAAUUUCUUAUUCGGGGAGGGGACGGGGAUGAGGUGGAAUCCUCAUCCCCUACCCAUUUCCCCAUUUUAAUUUUUAAUUUAAUUUUUAUUUUUUAAAAUUACUAGUAAAUAAAUAAUAAAAUUUGAAUUAUAAAAUUAUAAGUAUUGGUAAAAAUAAAAAAUAUCAAAAUAUUUAUAUUAUUAAACUUUUAGGCCUAAUUAACUAAUUAAAGUCCUAAAUUUUUAUUUAAGACAUUAAAAAGACCGGACAUAUUCUAUUAGCCCAAAAUUUUUAUUUUUAUUUUAAUAUUCAUUAAAUAUUUUAAACUUAAAUCUAUUUUUUAUUUAUCUUAAAUCUAUUUUUUAUUUAUUUUUAGAUGUUAUAAUUGCCCACAACAAAUCACAAUUUUAAUAUCCAAUCUAAUUUAAUAUUUGCUCUUGAUUUGUUUCGACUUAACUAUUGUGUUGUAAAGGGAAUAGUCCACAUUUAUAAAGUGCUCACGCCACCAUUGAAAAGUUAAUUUUGAAUCUAAAUUUGAUUUUAUUUGUAACAAUUUUGUAUUAGGCUAUUAAUUUGUUCAUGAUAGUUUGUAUCCCUUGCAUGCUGCGUUACUUACUAAUUUAAUAUAUGUGACUUUUGUAAUGGAUAUUAAUGUAAGAUAUAUUUCGAAAUUUACUUUUAUUUGAAUUUUUUUAUUUUAAUAUGAUUAACUCAAAAUCGAAAACAAAAAAAAAUGUAUUAGUUAUUCAGGGAUCGGGGACCCUCGGGGAUCCCCUGUUAUUAUUCGGGGAGGGGAUGAUGAUUCUCUUAAACAAUUGUGACGGGGAUGAAGAGGGGACGGGGAUAUACGCAAAAUAUCGGGGAUGGGUACGGGGAGAUUGGUCCUCUCCCCUCCCCUCCCCAUUGCCAUCCCUAUGCGUAUUGGUGUUGGAUCAAUGUUGUAUAUGCCUUCGCUACAAAAUUAGACAAUUUUAAAAAUUUUGGUGAUUAUGAUCCUAUUUAGGACUGAAUUGUUGUAACUUUUAAAGUACAAGUUUUGUGAAAAAAAAAGAUAUAAUUAUGAAUUAAGAGUAAAUAAUAUAUAGUAAACAUAAAUUUUAAAUAAUAAUUUUACUAAAAUUAUUAAAGAUUUAUUAGACUUUUCAUCACAUAAAUAUAAAAUCAAAUCAAAUUAGCUUUUAAAAUAUAACAGUUAAUGUUUACCAAAUACUUUAAUACUGUAACUUUUAAGGUAUAACUGUCCAACCUUAAUUCUAAAUAUAGUCUAUGAGUGUGUUUGGGAGUGAUGCGAGACAACUCGGUUGCUAAUGUAUUUGGUUACAUCUUACAGCUAAACUUUGACAGCUCAACAGUUUAAAAGUUAAAGUUUUUACUCUACAGCUAUAAUUUUUACUCUACAACAACUGCAACUUAAAAAUUACAGUACCUUACUUCCAAACACACCUUAUAUCUAUCACAAACUUGUUCAGAUUACUAACUAAUUAUGCGUUAUUUAACAUAGUAGAAUUCAGUAAUUCACUUAUUAUUAAUUUUUUGUUUUAGAUUUAGGUCUCUUGACCAUCUUUCACCGAUACAAACUGUUUUAUUACAUACCAAAACUGUUAAAAUCAAGGACGGAAGCAGCAUUGGUGCUACUAGGAUUAGUUGUCCCCACUUAAUUAAAAAAAGUAUUUAUUAAUCUAUUUUAUGCUUAAGUCUCACCCUGUAAUCUUUUAUCUUGAUUUCAUUGUUCAGUCCAUUUAUCCUUUAAAAUUAUUUGAACAACUCAGUAACUUGAAAUUAAAAGCCUAAUAGCCUUAAUUCCAGUAUGUUGCCAAAAAAAAAAAAUUAAUUAGCAUUGAUAAUAAAAUUAUUGCGCAAUCAACUCAUAAAAAAUUUAUAUAUAUAUAUAUAUAUUAUGAGUGAAAGAUAUAAUCUUAUAGUUAUUAUUAUUUUUAAAAAAUUACCCCCAUAGAACAAAUUUCUAACUUCAUUCCUUUUUAAAGUAACUCACGUUAUUUUAAAUUUUCAACAAAAGUCAAAGACAAAUAGGUAUAAAUAAUUAUUUUAAAUUUUUUAUUAAAACUUAGCAGUUUGAGAAAAUUUUAUUAAAUAUGAAAUAAGAAAUGAAAUACCAAAUUCAGAGAAUUUAAUUACAUUAUUUUUUCCCAGUUGGAAAUAUGUUGGAAAGAAAUGCCUUCAAAAUUUGCCAUUAAAAUAAGAAAUAUGUUUAUUAAUAUAAAUUAAAAAAUAAUGUAAUUAAAUUGAUUAAUAAAUAUUUGAUUUGGUUGGUCAUUUAACCAUAAAGUGACAACAUACAAGCGACAGAGUUGACGACUUUUUGUGCAGUGUGGAGCCCAUUCUAGACACAAAAAGUUAUGGAACAAAUGGUGCCACCAAACAAAUUUUUACUUCUAUGAAAGGGAAUCAAAAAAUGAGAAUGAUUUGAUGUCAAAAGUCAGUAUGAUCCAAGCAAUGCUGCAAAACGGUGCCACCAAACAAAUUUUUCAUUGUUAUUACGUUAAAAGACAGAAAAAAAAAAAACAAUUUGGAAACAGUACCAAGCAGCCUACUAAAAUUCUCGAAUUAUUUAGGAUUGGGGUUUUCUUUGAUGUUUAAUGAAUUAUUAUUGGCAAAUUGUAGUGAGUCAACAAUUGAAAUUAUAUUGAUCAAAUUGUAUCAGAACAUGAAUUCAUAUAAGUAAAUAGUGAGUAAAAGUUACUAGAUAGUCUGCAGUAAUAAAAUAAACAAUAGAAAAGAAAAUGAAAAAUAGAAAACUUAGAAAAAAAAAAAAGAGGCCUGUUAAACAAUAGUUUCUUUAAAACAAAUUUAUCACCUAUUACAGUGAUGUUAGAUUCAUUGGUAUUUGUUUUUCAAGAUACAACAGGAACAAAUUAUUUGUCAAACACAUACAAAUAAUUUCGGUGAACAUCAACAAUGUAGAAUCUCAAUCAAAACAUAACGUUAGAGGGAAAAAAAUUUAUUUUCUUUUCAAGUGUUCUGUGUGUUUGUUGUAUAUAAAACAUAAGAGAAAUAUUGUUUUUUUUAUAUACAUGAGGGUAUGACUGUUGAAUAAUAAAAUUGAAUAUUUGAAUUCUAUAUUUAAUUUAAUUUGCUUCUGUAAUAGCCCGUUGAAUUCAAAAUAUUUAAUUUUGUAACAACUCAAAAUUUAUUCACAAAUCAAACUAUUUUUUAUUUUUAAUUUUGAAAACUGUUACAAAAUUUAAAAGGAAAUAAAAAAAUGUGGUCAUGCAGGCUUGAGUGAUUUUUUGGUCGACAUUCGCAUAUGCAAGACGCUUGGGUGUACACGAGUUCAACCAAAUUGAGUUUGGAUUGCACUUCCCCUCCCCCCACAAGUGGCGUAGAGAAAACCUCUAUCUUUAAAAUUCUUAUUCAUGUAUGGAUAGGUAUCUAUAUAUAAACACAAAUCCCUUAGCUUAUUUUUUCUAUGUGAGAUAAGUUUUAUUUUUUUUCAAAUUUCUAACUUCAAGAGUGCACUUUGAGAGUCAAUUUUCUCAUUCACCCAAGCAUGAUUUUGAAUAUAUAUAAAUAUAUCAUUCUAAAGCGUUCACAGAAUAGAAUCCAAACCUCUCAAUAUUUUCAUUUUUGUUAAGUGGGUCCCACUCAAAAUGUGCCCUCCAAAAUAGCAUACUAAUAUGCUAUUUUUCAACAACUAUAUGAUAACAAAUUAACAAUAAUGAUAAAGUCAAAAUUAGUUUUGUACAACCAAUGGGUCAUUUGUUUUUUUUUUUUUUUGACUUAAUGACUUAAUUGAAUUUGUUAAGUCAUUAAAUCUAUUUAUUUUUUUCAACUUAAUGAAAAUUUUCAGUCAUUAGGUCAUUAAGUUAUUAAACUAAUUUUUUUAAACUUUUUGUUUAAUCUAAAAAGUCUGAAUGAUAUAAUUAAAAGAUAUUCUCCAAAAUAUCCCUAUCUAAUUAAUUAAUUUUCAUUUUUACCUAAAUAAAAUUUAAUAAUGAGCAGUAUUACCCAUCUCUAUAUAACUUGUGAUAAUAUAUAGUGGUAAACUAUUAUUUUUUUAUCUUUUAAUUUUUUUUCAAAUUAGCAUUAUUUAUCUUCAUAAUUUGUUAUGAAUAUUAUUCAUAUAAAAAUAUCAUAAACUAUAAUAAAUUUGAUAAACAUAUAUAAUAUAGAAUACUAAAGAGUUGUAUUCAAUCGAAUAUGAUUUAUGUUAUAAUCAUAUAUUAUCUUAUUUAUAUUCUUUGAGAUAUUUAUUUAUUUGUUUAACAUUUAUAAUUUGUAAGGGUAUAAAUGUAAAAAUAUCCGUUGUCAGAUUUUUUAAGUAAAAAAAAACUUAAUAUUUAUUUUUAGUGAUUCAAAUAAAAAAUAAACAUAUCAUUUAAAUUCAUACAUUUAGCUCUAUUAAGAAUUAAAACUAAUUUAGAUCUAUUCAGAUUUAAAAAAAAAAAAACAAAUACCACUUAAAUAUAUAAAAAUUAAUGUAAUAUGAAGAAAUUAAUUGAAAAGGGAUAACAAUUAUCUUUUUCAAAUAUGUUGAGUCAUGAUGAUUUUAUACAAACAAUCUCCUCAUGAGAUUAAAAUGAGCAAUGUGUCAAGGGUAUAGCAAAAUUAUCAAAAUGCUCGGUUUGUUAAAUUUAAUUUUCAAUUUUUAAAUUUAGAAAGUCAAAAGUCAAACUAAAUCAUUCGGUCUUUAAAAAAAGCAAAAAUACCAAAAUGACCCCGCUCCCCUUCUUAACCACCCGAUCCUCCACAAUUUCUCCUUAUCCUCUCAUCAAUAGCAAUGGCACAAAGAAAAGAAAACAUAGUGAUGUUCCCAUUCAUGGCACAAGGCCAUAUAAUCCCUUUCCUAGCAUUAGCCCUUCACUUGGAAAAAACAAACAAAUACACCAUAACUCUUGUUAACACCCCUUUAAACCUUAAGCAACUCAAAUCAUCUCUCCCUCAAAAUUCCUCUAUUCACCUUCUUGAAAUUCCUUUCAAUAGCGUAGUGCAUGACCUCCCUCCUUGUACUGAAAACACAGACUCUAUUCCAUAUCACCUCUUUCCAAAAUUCCUUCAAGCAACAGCAUCGCUCGAACCCCACUUCAAGAAACUAAUCUCUGAACUUGUCAAUGAACAAAAU